rnacentral:tRNA from 1 species
GCGGUUCAGUGGUAGAAUUCUCGCCUUCCAUGCAGGAGACCCAGGUUCGUAUCCUGGCCAAUGCA